GGCGAUAUCGCCAGUUCUCGUAUGAUCACUGAAGUUAAGCAACGUUGAGCCAGGUCAACACCUAAAUGGGUGACCACUUGGGAAUACCAGGUGAUGUAAG